AGCUGCAGCUGUUGAAGAAGGCUUGAUUUCAGACACAGACAGCUCAGGCUUACUCCUGGCAGGAUGAAGCAGAUUCUACAUGUGCUUUGAGGGCGGGUGGCUCAAGGUAGCUCCUGCUCUCCCACCAACAAGAGACCCUGCCGACCUGAUUCUUUGUGACUCUGCCUGGACACAGCACUAUUACCUGCACUGGGACAUCACUAGCUCAGCAUACCCUCAGGAGUAUCUGCCAGUCUACGUAAAUGCUGUGCCAUAUGAAACAUGACACCCUUCCUCUGGAUCUACAGGCAUCAGGAGAUAAGAGGAUCCCCUUCAACGUCUGCAGCCCAUGGGGACACUUAAGAUUCAGGAAGGAAGGAAGAAAAAAAAUGAGAAGACUAAGACUGGAAAACGUUGAGAUAUUUCAUGAAUCAGAUGUUCUUAUUGAGGAAGAAGAGACAGCAAAAAGGAAGCAAUUAUGAAGCACUUGAACAUUUGUUCCUUCGGACAUUUUUACAGCUAAACACCACUUAUUUAUCACUUCAUAAGCUCAGAGUGAGGGUACCUACUAUGCCACAGGAGUAGCCCUGGCAAGGAGUUUCAACUGACAGAACUCAACUAGCGAAAGAAGAUAAGCGGAGGAAUAAGACUGCCUGUAGCUGGUGUCAUUGGCAAACUAAAAUCUUGCUGCUCAACAGGCCCGACAAUCAAAAACUUGAAGCUUUGAUUCGGAUAGCUUGGCAUGUUUCACAUAUUUGACAGAUAUGCAGUACUUUAUACCCAACCACUGAUUGAUCACCUUAGAAAAAUCUACAGCCUUUCCUUCCUGCAUUUAUUUAGAAACCAAGUGAACAGCAAAACAGUUCUUCCUGGAAGUCAGCCAAGGGAUCUACUCAGAGACACAGCUCACUUCCCACCUGAUGCUCUGAAGAUCCUGUGACGUCUAGAGCUAUAAUCUCUAAAUAGCAAUAAAUCAUUAACUCCA